rnacentral:rRNA from 1 species
GUCUAUGGCCAUGCUACUCUGAACAAGCCUGAUCCCAUCUGAUAUUGAAAACUAAGCAGGGUUGGGCCUGGUUAGUACUUGGAUGGGGGAAUGCCAAGGAAGACCAGGCAUAAAAAAUA